CAGUAGCCGCGGUAAUACGUAGGGUGCAAGCGUUAAUCGGAAUUACUGGGCGUAAAGCGUGCGCAGGCGGUUUUGUAAGACAGAGGUGAAAUCCCCGGGCUCAACCUGUGAACUGCCUUUGUGACUGCAAGGCUAGAGUACGGCAGAGGGGGAUGGAAUUCCGCGUGUAGCAGUGAAAUGCGUAGAUAUGCGGAGGAACACCGAUGGCGAAGGCAAUCCCCUGGGCCUGUACUGACGCUCAUGCACGAAAGCGUGGGGAGCAAACAGGAUUAGAUACCCGCGUAGUCCCUGUCUCUUAUAA
rnacentral:rRNA from 1 species